rnacentral:rRNA from 1 species
CCCGCACAAGCGGUGAGCAUGUGGUUUAAUUCGAAGCAACGCGAAGAACCUUACCAGGUCUUGACAUCCCGAUGCUAUUUCUAGAGAUAGAAAGUUACUUCGGUACAUCGGUGACAGGUGGUGCAUGGUUGUCGUCAGCUCGUGUCGUGAGAUGUUGGGUUAAGUCCCGCAACGAGCGCAACCCCUAUUGUUAGUUGCCAUCAUUCAGUUGGGCACUUUAGAGAGACUGCCGGUGUUAAGCCGGAGGAAGGUGGGGAUGACGUCAAGUCCUCAUGGCCUUUAUGUCUAGGGCUACACACGUGCUACAAUGGGUGGUACAAAGAGCAGCUAACUCGCGAGAGUAUGCAAAUCUCAAAAAGCCAUCCUCAGUUCGGAUUGGAGUCUGCAACUCGACUCCAUGAAGUUGGAAUCGCUAGUAAUCGCGGAUCAGCAUGCCGCGGUCGAAUACGUUCCCGGGCCUU